CAUCUUCCUGAGAAAAUUCUGCAUCACACGAGCAUAAAAUUGUAACCAUAAUGUAAAAUCGCCUCUGAACAUAAGCCGGGCCAUGACAGCGUUCAUGCGCAUCGGCAAUUGUUUACUCAAGUCAGGCUCGCCACUCACGCACAGCCCCAAGGCCAAGGCCUGAGGUGAGCGGCGAGCCUGACUUGAGUAAUCAAUUGCCGAUGCGAAUGAACACGGCGCGGCUUAUGUUCGGAGGCGAUUUUGACCCUAUGCAUAUUUUUACCUCGGAACGUACCCUACACCAUCAGAAGCAGAAAAGCAUGCAGAUUUAGGAUCUGUGCUUAAAAAAGUGAUGCGAUGAAAACCAGCUGAGUACUAAGGAGUUGAAGGGAAAUAAGUGCAAAAAUUAUUUAUUCCCUACUUCAUUUAACUCUGAUUUUCGUAUGUGUAAUUUUACAUUAUGGUUACAAUUUUAUGCUAGUGUGAUGCAGAAUUUUCUCAGGAAGAUGAUGGUGGUCUCAGUUUUUCGUAAAAAUGAAUGUUGGGGUCAAGAAACAGGGUGGGAGUGAGGUGUGUGAAGUCGUCGGUUUGGGCAGACAACGAGGAUGGGGCGGGGCUAAGCGUGAAGGCUAUAGGAGUUGCCAACGAGUGAUUUCCUCCAGCUUGUAUGACGAUACCUUCUCUAUACUUGCCUUGCUCUACUCCAGCCAGCCACAGCUUCCUGGGACACUUGGUUUACCGUAGGGGAUGGCGUAAAAUAAUGGUAAAUUUCUGGUCAAAGUUGUUUUGUAUUAUAUAUUUUUAUAUGAUGUUUUAUGUUGUUAUAUGUUGUUUGUUAUGUUUUUAUAUAUGUAGUUAUAUGUUGUGUUUUUUAUGUAUUGAUGUUUAUAUGCUUGUUAUAUGUUUUCUAUGUCGUUUUAUUAUGUAAAUAUUUUAAUAUUAAACAAAAAAAAAUUAUAUAUUUUUUAGCCCC